AUAGGACUUUAUUGGGAAGCUACAAAAAGCAAGGGUGGGGGGAGUGGUAAGCAAGAAGGUGCAGAGGGAGACGCAGGAUGAAUGUGUCUGGCUUAAGUUAGGCAGUUGCAGUCCCGAAUUUCAUUUAUCUAAAUUAUACUGUGGGCUAAAGGGCCCUCUUGCUUUGGACUAACUAGUUGUUAGGAGCCUGUUCCUUUGCUUCGCUGUCAGUGUCACCUCAGGACAGUGUGCCUGGUUUAUAUAAAACUUGCUCAAUGCGUCUCAAAGGUAUUCUAAGGUCACUCCCCUCCCCCGCCCCCCUGUAAUGCCUCAAAAGCCCUGCUGCUGCACUGGAUUACUCUGAAGAGCUAAAGCUUGCAGACAGCAACAGCGGGACUGGUGGGCUAACGUAUCAUAAUCAACUCUAUAUAUAGCUAGGGAGAUUUAAAAAAAAAAAAAAAAGCCCUGCUUUUUUGCUGAUGCUAAGGCAUGCUGCAAAAGGGAGGAUUUGCUCACCAUUAGAAUCUGAAAUGUUUGAUUGAGGUAAAAUAGUUCCCAGGAUUGAAGUAAACACACUCUUUAGUAAAUACAGAACAUUUACUGUAGCUUAUUGGAUGGAUGUUUUAAUCUUUUGAGAGAGAGGUCAUUGGCCGUGUUAGUCUGCAGUUUGGCAGAAAGCAGGGUAGAAUUGCAUCUUAAUGCCUAACUAAAUAAUAAUGCAGUACAUCUAUGAUUCAGUGGUUUUCAACCUUUUUUUUCAUUUGCAGACCCCUAAAAAAUUUCAAAUGGAGGUGUGGGCGCCUUUGGAAAUUUUGAAUGGAGGUGCAGACCGUUUUGUAUUAAAAAGGCUGGACAUUCCUCUGCUUCAGAAAGUGAAGCCACUACCCUGCCAUUCAUUGACUAUUGGGAUUCUACAACUGGAUUGUUGAGAGACAGCUAGGACCCACUGUAGAAUAUGCAAAACUUGGUGAGAGAUUUGGUGGCUUGCCUCUUCAGUUAAGGGCUUUAAAUCCAUGUCUCUUCAUCCUCUGAGGAGCACUCCAGGAAGACAAGGGAGUACAGCGGAAACUAGCAUCCUGAUACUUUCUUAAAAACUGUUGUGCUUACUUAUUAAAAUACUUACCUGGCUUCUUUGCAAAACAAGAGCAUAGAUCCACGCAGGCUCAGUAUGUCAUGACCUUCCAACAGCUGCUGUACAUGAGUAAGAACCUACUACUGCUACUACCUCACAGAGAUUCACUUCCAGCUCGGAUGGCAGAGUUCUGUGCUACCACUCCUGAAGAUCAAUUCCUUUAUCUCUGUUUAUGACCUACUCUAUAUAAAUUAACAUUUCCCAUUCUUGCCCUUACCCCAUGUUUCAGCCCCUCAGUACUGGGCUGAAUAAAUACUUAAGGUAGAUUGAUUUGCAAAAUGAUUAAUUAAAAACUGAAACUGUGAUUAUGUAGUCAAUAUUGUACAAUUAAUUGCUGCUGACAUUACUGACUGGCACUGAAUUUGAUCUAGAGCUCCCAAAAAUGCCUUAACUUGAUGGUGAGCUUAGUCUUAGCUGAUGUCAGAUUAUUUUGCAUUGGAGAUGUUUGAAAGUGAUUAAAAGUAACAGUGGUGAGUUCCCUCA